AGAAGGCACAGCCUCAACCAUUCUGGCAAUGUGCUUGGUUUAUUUUCAGAUUUGCGAGGUGACCAGUUUCCAGACAUUGGUUCGCUCCUGCUUGUGUACGCGAUUGGCCGAGACUAAAAAAACUGUAGUGUGCCACCUUAAGGUUUUAGUCGUUUGCUUGUAAGGCAAGAUAGUCCCUGGAGAAGAACUAAAAUACGUCAACAGCCUUGUCAGCGGAAAGACACUCCGUUGCAGUUACUGAAGAUUUGCGAGGUGACCAGUUUCCAGACAUUGGUUCGCUCCUGCUUGUGUACGCGAUUGGCCGAGACUAAAAAAACUGUAGUGUGCCACCUUAGU